rnacentral:rRNA from 1 species
UACGUAGGGUGCAAGCGUUAAUCGGAAUUACUGGGCGUAAAGCGUGCGCAGGCGGUUAUGCAAGACAGAUGUGAAAUCCCCGGGCUCAACCUGGGAACUGCAUUUGUGACUGCAUGCUAGAGUACGGUAGAGGGGGAUGGAAUUCCGCGUGUAGCAGUGAAAUGCGUAGAUAUGCGGAGGAACACCGAUGGCGAAGGCAAUCCCCUGGACCUGUACUGACGCUCAUGCACGAAAGCGUGGGGAGCAAACAGG